GGGGCGGGGGGGUCGGAUUAUUGGGCGUAAGAGCGUGUAGGCGGCCAGAUAGGUCCGCCGUGAAAACUCGAGGCUUAACCUCGAGAUGUCGGUGGAAACCAUCUGGCUAGAGUCCGGAAGAGGAGAGCGGAAUUCCCGGUGUAGCGGUGAAAUGCGCAGAUAUCGGGAAGAACACCCGUGGCGAAGGCGGCUCUCUGGGACGGUACUGACGCUGAGACGCGAAAGCGUGGGGAGCAAACAGGAUUAGAUACCCUGGUAGACCACGCCGUAAACGAUGGGUGCUAGGUGUGGGGAGUGUCGACUCUCCCUGUGCCGAAGCUAACGCAUUAAGCACCCCGCCUGGGGAGUACGGCCGCAAGGCUAAAACUCAAAGGAAUUGACGGGGGCCCGCACAAGCAGCGGAGCAUGUUGUUUAAUUCGACGCAACGCGAAGAACCUUACCAGGGCUUGACAUGCACGGGAAUGUCGUAGAGAUACGGCAGCCCUUCGGGGCUCGUGCACAGGUGUUGCAUGGCCGUCGUCAGCUCGUGUCGUGAGAUGUUGGGUUAAGUCCCGCAACGAGCGCAACCCUCAUCCCUAGUUGCUAACACGUUAUGGUGAGCACUCUAGUGAAACUGCCCCGGAUAACGGGGAGGAAGGUGGGGAUGACGUCAAGUCCUCAUGGCCUUUAUGUCCAGGGCUACACACGUGCUACAAUGCCCGGUACAAACCGUCGCAAACCCACGAGGGGGAGCUAAUCGGAAAAAGCCGGGCUCAGUUCGGAUUGCAGUCUGCAACUCGACUGCAUGAAGCUGGAAUCGCUAGUAAUCGUGGAUCAGAACGCCACGGUGAAUACGUUCCCGGGCCUUGUACACACCGCCCGUCACAUCACGAAAGUGGGCUGUACUAGAAGUCGGUGCGCGAACCGCAAGGACGCAGCCGCCCAAGGUAUAACUCAUGAUUGGGGUGAAGUCGUAACAAGGUAAC
rnacentral:rRNA from 1 species